GAGACAUCUUCCUCACCUACAACCACAUCACUGCUACAUCCAUAGCUUCUGGUGCACCUUUGGGAGUGUGUGUUCUGCAGCACCCCCAAAUACUCUGGAGAAUAGCAGAUGCAAUGGAAAGCAAAAGAAACUAAAAGCUGGAGAGCUCAGUUGGACUUCCAUAAACUAGAGGAGGCCCUGGAGGAGGAAAGGUGACCUCUGCCUGCCUGCAGCUCUGUGAACUGCAGCCCUGCUUUCCUGAUCACAUUUCUUUGGACUGCCAUUGUGGAAUGCCUUUCCCUCUACCACCACCUCUUCAAAAUAAACAUGAGAGUUGAAGCCUUUCACAAGAUGUGCUGCAACACAGCUGAAUUUGCAUCUUAGCUAACUAAAUAAAGGCAUUGUGAAGGACA